GUUUAGUGUGUUUCGAAGGGUACUUAAUGGAAUUAUUUGGUAUCAAUUGAUUUUCGAUUUAAUUGGUACCAUUUAAUUCCAUUUCGGAAUUUUCGAAAUGUUCAUGUG